GACAGAGGGUGCAACGUUGUUCGGAUUUACUGGGCGUAAAGCGCGUGUAGGCGGCUUUGCAAGUCGGAUGUGAAAGCCCACGGCUCAACCGUGGAAGUGCAUCCGAAACUGCAUGGCUGGAGUCUCGGAGAGGAAGGUGGAAUGCUUGGGUGUAGAGGUGAAAUUCGUAGAUAUCAAGCAGAACACCUGCGGCGAAGGCGGCCUUCUGGACGAUGACUGACGCUGAGACGCGAAAGCGUGGGGAGCAAACAGG
rnacentral:rRNA from 1 species